rnacentral:rRNA from 1 species
GAUGAACGCUGGCGGCGUGCCUAAUACAUGCAAGUCGAGCGAACAGACGAGGAGCUUGCUCCUCUGACGUUAGCGGCGGACGGGUGAGUAACGCGUGGAUAACCUACCUAUAAGACUGGGAUAACUUCGGGAAACCGGAGCUAAUACCGGAUAAUAUAUUGAACCGCAUGGUUCAAUAGUGAAAGACGGUUUUGCUGUCACUUAUAGAUGGAUCCGCGCCGCAUUAGCUAGUUGGUAAGGUAACGGCUUACCAAGGCAACGAUGCGUAGCCGACCUGAGAGGGUGAUCGGCCACACUGGAACUGAGACACGGACCAGACUCCUACGGGAGGCAGCAGUAGGGAAUCUUCCGCAAAGGGCGAAAGCCUGACGGAGCAACGCCGCGUGAGUGAUGAAGGUCUUCGGAUCGUAAAACUCUGUUAUUAGGGAAGAACAAAUGUGUAAGUAACUAUGCACGUCUUGACGGUACCUAAUCAGAAAGCCACGGCUAACUACGUG